rnacentral:rRNA from 1 species
GUUCCCCUUGAACGAGGAAUUCCUAGUAAGCGCACGUCAUCAGCGUGUGCUGAUUACGUCCCUGCAAAAUGUACACACCGCCCGUCGCUAUUACCGAUUGGGUGUAUAGGUGAACCUUCCUGAUAGUCGCAAGAUUAGAAGUUAAGUAAACCUUUACACCUAGAGGAAAUAAAAGUCGUAACAAGGUUUCCGUAGGUGAACCUGCGGAAGGAU